GUGGGGAAUAUUGGACAAUGGGCGCAAGCCUGAUCCAGCCAUGCCGCGUGAGUGAUGAAGGCCUUAGGGUUGUAAAGCUCUUUCACCGAUGAAGAUAAUGACGGUAGUCGGAGAAGAAGCCCCGGCUAACUUCGUGCCAGCAGCCGCGGUAAUACGAAGGGGGCUAGCGUUGUUCGGAUUUACUGGGCGUAAAGCGCACGUAGGCGGUUUGUUAAGUCAGGGGUGAAAUCCCGGAGCUCAACUCCGGAACUGCCUUUGAUACUGGCAAGCUAGAGUCCGGAAGAGGUAAGUGGAACUCCUAGUGUAGAGGUGGAAUUCGUAGAUAUUAGGAAGAACACCAGUGGCGAAGGCGGCUUACUGGUCCGGAACUGACGCUGAGGUGCGAAAGCGUGGGGAGCAAACAGGAUUAGAUACCCCUGUAGUCC
rnacentral:rRNA from 1 species